CGCGGGGUAGAGCAGCCCGGUAGCUCGUCAGGCUCAUAACCUGAAGGUCACAGGUUCAAAUCCUGUCCCCGCAACCA
rnacentral:tRNA from 30 species